UACGGGGGGGGCAAGCGUUGUUCGGAAUUACUGGGCGUAAAGGGCUCGUAGGCGGCCAACUAAGUCGGACGUGAAAUCCCUCGGCUUAACCGGGGAACUGCGUCCGAUACUGGAUGGCUUGAGUUUGGGAGAGGGAUGCGGAAUUCCAGGUGUAGCGGUGAAAUGCGUAGAUAUCUGGAGGAAUACCUAUGGCGAAAGCAGGUAUCUGGGCCAUCACUGACGCUGAGCUGCGAAAGCUAGGGGAGCAAACAGG
rnacentral:rRNA from 1 species